CCGGAAUGGAGGAAGAAUAAUGAAUCAAUACUUAUGCAUAUGCAGAGGAUCCGGUGUCGGGAAAGAGGAAUAAUGAAUGAACACCUGAGUAUAUGCGGAGGAUCCAGCAUAGGAAGGAGGAACAAUGAAUCAUCACGCGCGCGAUGCCUGAGUUGGUCGAAGUUAAUGUACUACCGAAGGCGGAGGGGCUGAUUCGCGAUUGAUUAAAUUGUGUUUUGGUGUUUAUAAGAGGACUGAUUAAACUUUUAUAUUUUCACAAAG